rnacentral:rRNA from 1 species
AUUGCCCCAGUAACGGCGAGUGAAGCGGCAACAGCUCAAAUUUGAAAUCUGGCUCUCGGGCCCGAGUUGUAAUUUGUAGAGGAUGCUUUUGGUGAGGUGCCUUCCGAGUUCCCUGGAACGGGACGCCAUAGAGGGUGAGAGCCCCGUCUGGUUGGACGCCGAACCUCUGUAAAGCUCCUUCGACGAGUCGAGUAGUUUGGGAAUGCUGCUCUAAAUGGGAGGUAUAUGUCUUCUAAAGCUAAAUACCGGCCAGAGACCGAUAGCGCACAAGUAGAGUGAUCGAAAGAUGAAAAGAACUUUGAAAAGAGAGUUAAACAGUACGUGAAAUUGUUGAAAGGGAAGCGCUUGUGACCAGACUUGGGCUUGGUUGAUCAUCCGGGGUUCUCCCCGGUGCACUCUUCCGGCCCAGGCCAGCAUCAGUUCGCCCUGGGGGAUAAAGGCAUCGGGAACGUGGCUCUCUCCGGGGAGUGUUAUAGCCCGUUGCGUAAUACCCUGCGGCGGACUGAGGUUCGCGCAUUCGCAAGGAUGCUGGCGUAAUGGUCAUCAGUGACCCGUCUUGAAACACGGACCAAGGAGUCGUCUUCGUAUGCGAGUGUUCGGGUGUCAAACCCCUACGCGAAAUGAAAGUGAACGCAGGUGAGAGCUUCGGCGCAUCAUCGACCGAUCCUGAUGUUAUCGGAUGGAUUUGAGUAAGAGCAUACGGGGCCGGACCCGAAAGAAGGUGAACUAUGCCUGUGUAGGGUGAAGCCAGAGGAAACUCUGGUGGAGGCUCGCAGCGGUUCUGACGUGCAAAUCGAUCGUCAAACAUGGGCAUGGGGGCGAAAGACUAAU